CCAGUCCUACGGGAGGCAGCAGUGAGGAAUAUUGGUCAAUGGACGAGAGUCUGAACCAGCCAAGUAGCGUGAAGGAUGACUGCCCUAUGGGUUGUGAACUUCUUUUAUAUGGGAAUAAAACGUUCCACGUGUGGGAUUUUGUAUGUACCAUAUGAAUAAGGAUCGGCUAACUCCGUGCCAGCAGCCGCGGUAAUACGGAGGAUCCGAGCGUUAUCCGGAUUUAUUGGGUUCAAAGGGAGCGUAGGUGGAUUGUUAAGUCAGUUGUGAAAGUUUGCGGCUCAACCGUAAAACUGCAGUUGAAACUG
rnacentral:rRNA from 1 species